rnacentral:rRNA from 1 species
UACGGAAGGCAGCAGUGGGGAAUAUUGCACAAUGGGCGAAAGCCUGAUGCAGCUAUGCCGCGUGUAUGAAGAAGGCCUUAGGGUUGUAAAGUACUUUCAUCGGGGAGGAAAAACAAAACUAAUAAUUUUAUUUCUUGACGUUACCCGAAAAAGAAGCACCGGCUAACUCCGUGCCAGCAGCCGCGGUAAUACGGAGGGUGCUAGCGUUAAUCAGAAUUACUGGGCGUAAAGAGCACGUAGGUGGUUUUUUUAAGUCAGAUGUGAAAUCCCCUGGGCUUAACCUGGAACUGCAUUUUGAAACUGAAAUACUAGAGUAUCGUAGAGGGAGGUAGAAUUCUAGGUGUAGCGGUGAAAUGCGUAGAUAUCUGGAGGAAUACCUGUGGCGAAAGCGGCCUCCUAAACGAAUACUGACACUGAGGUGCGAAAGCGUGGGGAGCGAAACAGGGAUUAGAUACC